GCUACUUUGUUAAUUUAAUUUUUUUUUUUUUGUUUAAUGAAUUGUUGUACGCUCUCAACAUAUUUGCAUACAACAAUGGAAAUAUUAAAACUAAAUUCAAACGUAGCUGUGAACAUUAUACACAUUUAAACGGUCAUCUCGCGGAUACACACGACGACGACGACGUUUUACUCGCGAAUCUUUUCCGUACUGCGUGCGCUCUCAAAAACGUGUACGGUGUACCUAUAGAUGGGUAUUAUUAUAUACGCGUGCAUAAAUGUAUAAUGUAUAUUAUAUAUUAUAUUUUAUAAACAUCAGGUAUACGUACACCGAUGUGUGUAUAUAUAAUAAUAUAAUACAGAAUGUACCUGCAGCAGCGUACGCGUAUGUACGACUCGGAAAACACUGCAGCUCAGAUUACAAUCGCGGGUAAUCAGCAAUCGUAUUAACUGUGUUGCUAAUAAUACAAUAUUAUCCAAAUACUCCACUGGAGAAAUGAACAUACUCGACAACAUCAAAUGGACUAAACGAUGAUAAUUAUUAAAUACGAUACAGAAUUACAGAAUAACACGCGUGCUGCACUGAAUCAAAAAAAAAUUAUACACAAUAUACCUACUUAUUUGACGAGUGUACCUAAUGUUUAAUACUUUAUUUAAUUUACAUUAAACGCUUUGUUGUACCGCACACAUCAACAUAAUAAACCUAUUAAUAUACUGUACAAAUACAAAUUUAUAUUGACUAGAAUAAUUUAUACUUGUGUAUAUCGUGUAGAGAUAUAUAGGUAUACACAUCUAUCCAAGUGUCUAAUUAAAAUAUAUUUUUUACAUAAUUAGUAAUUAAGAUUACAAGACCGUUGUAUAUUUAUAGAUAUUAGAUAUAUUAUAAUAUGUAUGAUGCUACGCGGGCAAUAAUUGAAUCGAAUACACCAUAUACGAGUAUAUGGUCUGUAUAGUGUGGUUAAAUUAAUUAUUGUCCGAUUUACCGUUGAAAGGAAAUCUAUAGCAAUCAGUUGUUUAUUAAAAAUAAAUAUAUGUAUACAUAAUCAAGCCAGGAUAUGAAUACUAAAUUAUAAUCAUCAAUCAAUAUUUUUUUAACUCGCCGAAUAUCUACCUUAGUGAA